rnacentral:rRNA from 1 species
GACGAACGCUGGCGGCGUGCUUAACACAUGCAAGUCGAACGGAAAGGCCCUGCUUUUGUGGGGUGCUCGAGUGGCGAACGGGUGAGUAACACGUGAGUAACCUGCCCUUGACUUUGUGAUAACUUCAGGAAACUGGGGCUAAUACCGGAUAGGAGCUCCUGCUGCAUGGUGGGGGUUGGAAAGUUUCGGCGGUUGGGGAUGGACUCGCGGCUUAUCAGCUUGUUGGGGGGGUAGUGGCUUACCAAGGCUUUGACGGGUAGCCGGCCUGAGAGGGUGACCGGCCACAUUGGGACUGAGAGACGGCCCAGACUCCUACGGGAGGCAGCAGUGGGGAAUAUUGCACAAUGGGCGGAAGCCUGAUGCAGCAACGCCGCGUGCGGGAUGACGGCCUUCGGGUUGUAAACCGCUUUCGCCUGUGACGAAGCGUGAGUGACGGUAAUGGGUAAAGAAGCACCGGCUAACUACGUG